UCUCCGUAGGUGAACCUGCGGAGGGAUCAUUACAGAGUUCAUGCCCUUACGGGUAGAUCUCCCACCCUAUGUUAUUAUCACUUUGUUGCUUUGGCGGGCCGUCAGGCUCACGCCGGGCUACCGGCUCCGGCUGGUAAGCGCCCGCCAGAGGACCCAAAAUUCUGAAUAUUAGUGUCGUCUGAGUACUAUAUAAUAGUUAAAACUUUCAACAACGGAUCUCUUGGUUCUGGCAUCGUUGAAGAACGCAGC
rnacentral:misc_RNA from 1 species